rnacentral:rRNA from 1 species
UACGUAGGGUGCGAGCGUUAAUCGAAAUUACUGGGCGUAAAGCGUGCGCAGGCGGUUCGUUAAGUCAGAUGUGAAAGCCCCGGGCUCAACCUGGGAACUGCAUUUGAAACUGGCGGGCUUGAGUGUGGCAGAGGGGGGUGGAAUUCCGCGUGUAGCAGUGAAAUGCGUAGAGAUGCGGAGGAACACCGAUGGCGAAGGCAGCCCCCUGGGCCAACACUGACGCUCAGGCACGAAAGCGUGGGGAGCAAACAGG